rnacentral:rRNA from 1 species
GUGCCAGCAGCCGCGGUAAUUCCAGCUCCAAUAGCGUAUAUUAAAGUUGUUGUGGUUAAAAAGCUCGUAGUUGAACCUUGGGCCUGGCUGGCCGGUCCGCCUCACCGCGUGCACUGGUCCGGCCGGGCCUUUCCCUCUGUGGAACCCCAUACCCUUCACUGGGCGUGGCGGGGAAACAGGACAUUUACUUUGAAAAAAUUAGAGUGCUCCAGGCAGGCCUAUGCUCGAAUACAUUAGCAUGGAAUAAUAAAAUAGGACGCGCGGUUCUAUUUUGUUGGUUUAUAGGACCGCCGUAAUGAUUAAUAGGGACAGUCGGGGGCAUCAGUAUUCAACUGUCAGAGGUGAAAUUCUUGGAUCAGUUGAAGACUAACUACUGCGAAAGCAUUUGCCAAGGAUGUUUUCAUUAAUCAGGAACGAAAGUUAGGGGAUCGAAGACGAUCAGAUACCGUCGUAGUCUUAACCAUAAACUAUGCCGACUAGGGAUCGGACGGUGUUAUUCAUGACCCGUUCGGCACCUUACGAGAAAUCAAAGUGCUUGGGCUCCAGGGGGAGUAUGGUCGCAAGGCUGAAACUUAAAGAAAUUGACGGAAGGGCACCACCAGGGGUGGAGCCUGCGGCUUAAUUUGACUCAACACGGGGAAACUCACCAGGUCCAGACACAAUAAGGAUUGACAGAUUGAGAGCUCUUUCUUGAUUUUGUGGGGUGGUGAGCAUGGCCGUUCUUAGUUGGUGGGGUGACUUGUCUGCUUAAUUGCGAUAACGAACCGAG